GACGAACGCUGGCGGCGUGCUUAACACAUGCAAGUCGAACGCUGAAGCUCAGCUUGCUGGGUGGAUGAGUGGCGAACGGGUGAGUAACACGUGAGUAACCUGCCCUCUUCUUUGGGAUAACGCCCGGAAACGGGUGCUAAUACUGGAUAUUCACUGAUUCUCGCAUGGGGGUUGGUGGAAAGGUUUUUUCUGGUGGGGGAUGGGCUCGCGGCCUAUCAGCUUGUUGGUGGGGUGAUGGCCUACCAAGGCUUUGACGGGUAGCCGGCCUGAGAGGGUGACCGGUCACAUUGGGACUGAGAUACGGCCCAGACUCCUACGGGAGGCAGCAGUGGGGAAUAUUGCACAAUGGGCGAAAGCCUGAUGCAGCGACGCCGCGUGAGGGAUGGAGGCCUUCGGGGUGUAAACCUCUUUCGCUCAUGGUCAAGCCGCAGCGUUGGGUUGUGGUGAGGGUAGUGGGUAAAGAAGCGCCGGCUAACUACGUG
rnacentral:rRNA from 1 species